rnacentral:rRNA from 1 species
GAUGAACGCUGGCGGCGUGCUUAACACAUGCAAGUCGAACGGAAAGGCUCCUGCUUGCAGGGGUACUCGAGUGGCGAACGGGUGAGUAACACGUGGGUGAUCUGCCCUGCACUUCGGGAUAAGCCUGGGAAACUGGGUCUAAUACCGGAUAGGACGAUGGUUUGGAUGCCAUUGUGGAAAGUUUUUCGGUGUGGGAUGAGCUCGCGGCCUAUCAGCUUGUUGGUGGGGUAAUGGCCUACCAAGGCGUCGACGGGUAGCCGGCCUGAGAGGGUGUACGGCCACAUUGGGACUGAGAUACGGCCCAGACUCCUACGGGAGGCAGCAGAGGGGAAUAUUGCACAAUGGGCGCAAGCCUGAUGCAGCGACGCCGCGUGGGGGAUGACGGCCUUCGGGUUGUAAACUCCUUUCGCUAGGGACGAAGCGCAAGUGACGGUACCUGGAGAAGAAGCACCGGCUAACUACGUG